GAGACUGGUUUGUCUGAUGCUGCUGCCGGAGCUGAGGUCUUGCCUGGAGAUCCGAACGAGACACCACGUCAACCGGCGCGGGGAGUCCCGUGAAGACAUGAGGGCGCCAGGAGCGCAGUACUGGAAUACCUGAGUUUUGGCUGGGCACAGAACUGUCUGGAAUACAGACUGCAAUUCCCAGCCUUCUGUGCAGUUCUGUGUGGCCAUGUGACUAAGUUGUGGUCAAUAUGAGUCACGGAAGAAUAGAAGAACAACUCAGAGGAGGAAGAAGUCAGACAUAGCCAGACACGGCUGCUAGCAGUUCCACCAAUGAAAGAGGAGACCAGGAUGUUUAAAACAGGCAAACACAAGGUGCGAAAAACCAGAAGCGAAAACUUCUGAGGUCAUUUAAGCAAGGACUAUCGUUAUCCCCGGAAGCAGAGAGAAGUUCCCUUUGCCCAACAUCACACUGCAAGCACGUGUUGGAGCUGAGAUUCAAACCCAGGCAUCCAGGGUCCAGGGCCCAUGCUUUUAAUA
rnacentral:lncRNA from 1 species